CGUGGACGGGGAGGAGUUGUCUGUCAAGUGCACCAACGCCCGCCCCUGCCCGCUGGAGAGAGAAAAAUUUAACGAAAAUGCCUCCCAGCGUGCAAUUCUGCUUACUUGUUCGAAGCCUGUCCAUCCACCACCAUCCUCUUCCACAGAUCCAUGAGAAACUGCGGCUGGUUAGCACUGAAAGUAAACCAUCCCAAAUAGAAGGGCGGCCCCACCCCCGGACGCUGGGCCCACAGCCUGGCCGGCAGGAGACUCAUGCCUUCCUACAGCCACUGUGCUCCUUCUGCAAACAAACUGAGCCCAGGAAGCAGCUCAUCCAUAUUCCAUGCUGGGCAGCCCAACUCAGCAAUCAUUAACCCCAAUGCUCACAGAGGAGGAGAACGCUGCUGCCAGCCUGCAGGCUUCCAGGGUAUCUGGUGGAGGACUCCGGUUACCGCUGUGGCCAGGUCUUUCUCAUGGGCAGCCCCGAGGGGAGUUGGAGCAACUCAGUAUUCCUGUGGGGGUUUGCAGAAAGGCUGCUGGAAACCCUUUCAGGGUCUUGGGAGAGACUUCCCAGAAUCACGAGCCCCUUGAAGCCACGGAUUGCAUGUUACUCACCUUUUCAUCGUCGGUGCCCAGAAACGGCUAUAUUCCUUCCUGAUUGAAUACUUUCACUUUAGGGAGACUCAGGCACAUGUGCACCAAUGUUCUUGGCAGCCCUUCUCACAAUCGCCAAAAGAUGGAAUCCACCUAACUGCCCGUCAGCAGAUGAAUGGAUGAACGAUAUGUGCUACAGACAAGGAUGCGUUCAGCCACACAGAGGGCCGGAGUUUUGAUGGCUGCCUCAAGGGUGCACCUGGAGCACAUCAUGCUGAGGGGAGUAAGUCAGACGCCAAAGGACAGAAGUCGGGAGAUACUACUUAUCAACCACAAAUAUUUAAAGAAGGAAGAGAGAAGUAACUAGGGCCUGGAGGGGGAAAUGAGGACUUAUUGCUUUGUGGACACAGAAGUGUUAAAAAAAGAUUUUGAAGAUAAAAAGUGCUGUGGGGGAAAAAAGGGGCUGCAGAGAAUACUGGAAAAGAAGCAGAUUGAAAGCACUGUGUUUUUUUCAGGGUAUAAGAUGUACAGGUUUUUUUUUUUCCUGUCCAAGAUGUACAGUUUUAUGAGAAAUCAGCUCACAUGUCAGAAUGUAGGCCGCCUCCCUUUCGGUGCAGGAGCAUGCUCGCAGAGGGACAGACACAGCCCUCCUGAAAGGACGGCUAUUGUCUGGUCCUGUUUCUAUGAACUGUAGAGACUAGGUGAAGGUGUGGAAACCAAAAUCUAUUUGUGGUUAGCAGGGUGGGAGGGAGGAAGGCAGGGCCACU